GGGCAGCAGUAAGGAAUAUUGGACAAUGGACGAAAGUCUGAUCCAGCCAUGCCGCGUGAAGGAUUAAGGUCCUCUGGAUUGUAAACUUCUUUUAUAUGGGACGAAAAAAGGGCAUUCUUGUUCACUUGACGGUACCAUAUGAAUAAGCACCGGCUAACUCCGUGCCAGCAGCCGCGGUAAUACGGAGGGUGCAAGCGUUAUCCGGAUUCACUGGGUUUAAAGGGUGCGUAGGCGGGUAGAUAAGUCAGUGGUGAAAUCUCGGAGCUUAACUCCGAAACUGCCAUUGAUACUAUUUAUCUUGAAUAUUGUGGAGGUUUGCGGAAUAUGUCAUGUAGCGGUGAAAUGCUUAGAUAUGACAUAGAACACCUAUUGCGAAGGCAGCAGGCUACACAUAUAUUGACGCUGAGGCACGAAAGCGUGGGGAUCAAACAGGAUUAGAUACCCGAGUAGUC
rnacentral:rRNA from 1 species